GCCCAAGCCGCUGGGUCCGCCGCGAGCCUCCGCCCCUUCCUCCGUCUCCAGGUGGCGGCGCGGCGGGGGGGCGAGCUGGAGCGGGAGCCGGCGCGCAGGCCGAGCGCGCCACGCCCCCGCCGGUCCGUGGUCCCUGCCGCCGCCGCUCCGCCGUCCUUCCCUCCCGUCCGCCGGCGUCGGGCUCAGCCGGGCCGGACGGAGCCGCGGCCUGGCCUCUGGCACCGGGACCCGAGAGAGGCUUGACACCGGUAAAAUGCAAAUGCCAAGACCAAAACCCCACAAGAGACUGGAAAAGAAGAAAUGGACGUAAUUGUCACUUGCGCCGGGUAUGGAGAAAUUCUGACCACGUCUCCAGAGCCCAGCCCAAUGCGGGAGAGGAUUUCUGUGGGCGAGAAAGACAGUUAGUGCAGCAUUUCAAAUCAGCAUUCCAUGAGCAUGGGCCAUAAUUUACCAUUCUCUAGGUCCCGAAAGGUUCUGGAAAACAAUACAUGCUUCAUGUUAACUGAAUAAGCUGUUUGUUGUUUAUAUGGCCAAUGCCAGAUUUCGUUACAAAUUCUGCUGGCCCUGCCAAGGACUGGACAUCUUGACACCAAGAGGCACAGCAAAGUCUAGCCAAAAGGUGACUUUGCAGGCAGUGCAAUGAAUCUCUUUGCUUCUCCAAAUCUAGCAUUUUCUUAGGAAGAACAUAGCCAGAGAUGCCAACGCUCUAUUCCACAGGCCAAUUCUGGAUCUUUAAGUAAGUGGUAUAGGUACCAUGCUGUUCCGUCUCUAAAAAAUGAAGUGUCAGUCAAAAUAGAGUUUGUUUUAAUUGAAGGCUGUUUAGACUGUGGAAGGUUCUAGAUAUGUUUGGACAUCUGUAAACAGAGACUGAGGGCUAGAAAAAGAGAGGCAGGGAGAGAGGAACACCAAGUACUGCCACACGGCCCCAACUCCAGAGGCCACCACCUGAUAGGUUACAAUGUGUACGGGCCCACCCUUGGAACUGUGCAAUAUGGCAUCCCUGGCAGGAUUCACUUGGUAAUAAACUUUCUACACGGCAGGCACUGUACCCCCUGAGAGUCCG
rnacentral:lncRNA from 1 species